CCUACGGGGGGCAGCAGUGAGGAAUAUUUGUCAAUGGCCGUAAGGCUGAACCAGCCAAGUCGCGUGAAGGAAGAAGGAUCUAUGGUUUGUAAACUUCUUUUAUAGGGGAAUAAAGGUCUCCACGUGUGGAUAUUUGCAUUUACCCUAUGAAUAAGCAUCGGCUAACUCCGUGCCAGCAGCCGCGGUAAUACGGGGGAGGCGAGCGUUCUCGGGAUUUAUUGGUUUUAAAGGGUACUGAGGUUGUUUUUUAAGUCAGCGGUGAAAGUUUGUGGCUCAACCAUAAAAUUGCCGUUGAAACUGUAAGACUUGGGUGUGUUGAGGGUAGGCGGAAUGCGUGGUGUGGCGGUGAA
rnacentral:rRNA from 1 species